GCUCUUGUAGCUCAGUCGGUAGAGCACCGCAUUGGUAGUGCGGAGGUCAGCGGUCCGAUUCCGCUCGGGAGCU
rfam:Treponema saccharophilum DSM 2985 Tsacc_Contig239, whole genome shotgun sequence.